CCAGUUUCCCCCAAACCGAACCCUCGUCCCCAACCCUCCUUCCCAACCAACGCCGCCGCCGCCACGACCAAGCCCUCCACCGCCGAGCCCCUCCACCCACGACGGCGACUUCCGCCACCGACUCCCUCCGCGCACGACGGUGACUUCCACCACCGACUCCCUCCGCCGCAGGUUGCUACCAUACUCGUCCUCGCCAAGGUCGACGUCGAGCGCCACCGGUUCGCCGCACCUACUGCCGCUCCUCUGCUCCUUGGUCCCCGCACGAGCUCACGCGCAGCAAGCACGCGCCACUCCCCCAUGGCGUCGUCGCCGCGGCCUAUCCCCAGCGCCGCCCCUGCUGCUGGCCCUCAUCGGCCGAGCGCCUCACAGCUGGUCCGCCGCCGACCUCCGUCCGCCUCUGCGCCCAUGGACGGCUUCCAUCCCCCGACUCUAGUCAUCGACGCCUCGCCUAGCCUGCGCCAUGGCCCUUGGCCGCUGCACCGCCACCGCGUCGGAGAUUUUUCGUCCUUUCCCUAGGUCGCUCCAGGAGCUCGAGGCCCAGCAUUGCCCCAGAUCGGCCAACUCCCAAGCCUCCUCCACCGCCUGCUGCUGCUUUGCUCCUCCGGCGGCUGCAGCAAGAGCCAUUCCUGCUGUUGGCGCUCUCCACUGACUACGAGUCCGAAAAAUCAAUCGCAAGGUGAGGCUAGAACUAAUGGGAAUAAUAGCUAAAAAUGCAACAAACAUAUCUGGAAAUGAAGCAGGGAAGAUAUAAGAGAGUUGUUGAAGUAGAGAAGCGGCAUACCGUGAAGGGCACGAGCUGUUGCGCGAGGAGUUCACAGAGCCACUGCAUGGUUUUUCUUCUGAGACAUGAAGAAUUAAUCAAGGGAACAUGACACUGAUGCAGGUGGUGGAGUUGAUUGCCAACAGUGAACCACAUGUUCCAUUCUCGGACACCAAGCUCACAAUGUUAUUUCGGGUGGGGAAGGAGGAGAUGCGAACAAUGUGUGGACGAAGAUGGCAACUUGCAUUCAUAAGGUGGCCUCGGAGGAGCUUGGAGUGUCCCGGGGAAGGAGAAGCGAAGAUAAGGAUACCUGGUGGUGGAAUGAUGAUGUCCAGAAGGCGAUUAAAGAAAAGAAAGAUUGCUUCAAAUGCCUAUACCUGGAUAUGAGUGCAGACAACAUAGAGAAGUACAAGAUGGCGAAGAAGGCCGCAAAGCGAGCUGUUGGUGAAGCAAGGGGUCGGGCAUAUGAGGACCUCUACCAACGGUUAGGCACGAAGGAAGGUGAAAGGGACAUCUAUAAGAUGGCCAAGAUCCGAGAGAGGAAGAUGAGGGACAUUGGCUAAGUCAAAUGCAUCAAGGACGGAGCAGGCCAACUCUUGGUGAAGGGCGAGGAGAUUAAGCAUAGAUGGCGGGAGUACUUCGACAAGCUGUUCAAUGGGGAGAAUGAGAGUUCUACCAUUGAACUG